rnacentral:misc_RNA from 1 species
AACGCACCUUGCACUCUUUGGUAUUCCGAAGAGUAUGUCUGUUUGAGUGUCGUGAAAUUCUCAACCCCCCUAUUUUGUAAUGAGAUAGGUUUUGUGGGCUUGGAUUAUGGCUGCCUGUCGGUUCGUUACGUGUCGGCUCAGCUGAAAUACACGAGCAUCCCAGUUGAAACAGCGACGGCUUGACUCGGCGUAAUAACAUAUUUCGCUGAGGACGUCCACUGUACGUUUCAAGCAGUGGGGCUUCUAAUGCACAUCCAUCUUAAGCUUUAGACCUCAAAUCAGAUAGGACUACCCGCUGAACUUAA